CAGAACCUCCUAGAGAAAGAGAGAGAAGAGAGUAGAGAGAAAAAAACCAAGAUUUGAUCAAAAUCUGAGCUCCGAAUCUCAAAGCUCGUGAAGAGGAAAAUGUAGUACGAGUUGUCAUCGUCAUCUUAAGCUAAAUAUUGACCUUGGGGAAGGAUACUUUCGUGGUUGAGCUACUGCUAAGGUAUAUAUGCUCUUGUACAAGCUAAGAGGAAUUAUUUGACGAAGUGGACUUUGGUUGGUCUAUGGCGUAGAUGAUUUGAACUCCUCGAGUUGUGGUAGAACUUGUUGUGUGGUAAAACGCCGAGGUAUAUAUGCUCUUGUACAAGCUAAGAGGAAUUAUUUGACGAAGUGGACUUUGGUUGGUCUAUGGCGUAGAUGAUUUGAACUCCUCGAGUUGUGGUAGAACUUGUUGUGUGGUAAAACGCCGAGGUAAUGUGCGAGAUGAGGUAUGAAGAUGGCCACUUGGAGUAUACUUUUGGGAGCCUUAGUGAAGAUCACAUGUGCAUAUGUAUUUAGUUUUUGUAAACUUUUUGGGGACUUGUACAUGAUACAGGUGUGGCACUUAUGUAUGAAAUUUUGGAAGCUUGUGGAAAACAAGACCAUGUGCUUGUAACUUAAACUUGGUGACUGGUUUUGCUAUCUUAGGGUGUGUUUUUAACCCAAGUCAUGCCAUAUACCGAAUUUGUAUUUUGUCUUGUAAUUAUGUACAAAGGGUGAAAUUAGUUUCGUGAAAAUCUCUAGUUUG